GCCAGGUGUGGUGGUGCGCACCUGUAGUCCCAGCUACUUGGGGGCUGAGGUGGGAGGAUUGCUUGAGCCUGGGAGGUUGGGGCUUCAGUGAGCUGUCUUUGUGCCAUUGUACUCUAGCCUGGGUGACAAAGUGAGACCCUGUCUCAA
rnacentral:SRP_RNA from 1 species